rnacentral:rRNA from 1 species
ACGCUCGACACCUACGGGGGCAGCAGUGGGGAAUAUUGCACAAUGGGGGAAACCCGUGAUGCAGCGACGCCGCGUGAAGGAAGAAGUAUCUCGGUAUGUAAACUUCUAUCAGCAGGGAAGAAAAUGACGGUACCUGACUAAGAAGCCCCGGCUAACUACGUGCCAGCAGCCGGGUAAUCUGAGCGGGCUGGCAAGGC